CAAUAGCGUAUAUUAAAGUUGUUGCAGUUAAAAAGCUCGUAGUUGGAUUUGUGGUGUACUUCGGCGGCCCGUCACUAUGUGAUGGAGCUUGCUGAAGUCGCCAUCCUUGGGUGGAUCCUGUGUGGCAUUAAGUUGUCGUGCAGGGGAUGCCCAUCGUUUACUGUGAAAAAAUUAGAGUGUUCAAAGCAGGCUUAUGCCGUUGAAUAUAUUAGCAUGGAAUAAUAAGAUAGGACCUUGGUACUAUUUUGUUGGUUUGCGCACCAAGGUAAUGAUUAAUAGGGACAGUUGGGGGUAUUCGUAUUUCAUUGUCAGAGGUGAAAUUCUUGGAUUUUUGAAAGACGAACUACUGCGAAAGCAUUUACCAAGGAUGUUUNCAUUAA
rnacentral:rRNA from 1 species